AUUGAACGCUGGCGGCAUGCCUUAUACAUGCAAGUCGAACGGUAACAGGCCUUCGGGUGCCGACGAGUGGCGAACGGGUGAGUAAUGCAACGGCACGUAUCCCGAGCCUGGGGAAAACGCAGCGAAAGCUGUGCUAAUACCGAAUGCGAUCUGAGGUUUAAAGCGGGGGACCUCGCAGCUAUGUUUGGCUUUGCGCCUUUCUAGCGGCUGAUGCCGGAUUAGCUAGGUGGUGAGGUAAAGGCCCACCAAGGCGACGAUCCGUAGCUGGUCUGAGAGGACGAUCGGCCACACUGGAACUGAGACACGGCCCAGACUCCUACGGGAGGCAGCAGUAGGGAAUUUUGGGCAAUGGGCGAAAGCCUGACGGAGCAACGCCGCGUGCGGGAAGAAGGCCUUCGGAUUGUAAACCGCUUUUAGCAGGGACGAAACAGUGUCCAAUAAUACCGGGCGGUAUUGACGGUACCUGCAGAGUAAGCACCGGCUAACUACGUG
rnacentral:rRNA from 1 species